GAGCAAUUGUUUAUUUCAGUCAUUCUGUAGAGAAUUGAUGCUUGCCUUUGGAAGGAGGUCCUUUGAGCAGGGACAGAGACAAUGAUGUCACUGCCAAGCUAUGCGCCACCUUGGGGAGAUAGAGGUCCUAGAAGCCUCAGCCUGCCUCCUAAUGCUCACAAAGGAUUUCUAUGGUGAGGCCUUCUGACUUACCCUGCCAUGGUCACUAGACUCCUUUUCUGCAUGGUCCUUUGUUUCUUGGAAGUAGAACCAACAUAUGCUGGAGUCACUCAAACACCUAGGCACAAGGUGGCAGAAAAGGGACAAAAUGUGAGUCUGAAGUGUGAGCCAAUUUUAGGACAUGAUACUGUUUACUGGUACAGACAGACUUUGGUGAAGGGAGUGGAGUUCCUGAUUUACUUUCGCAACCGGGAUCCUAUGGAUGAUAAAGGGAUGCCAAACAAUCGAUUCUCAGCUCAGGUGUCUGAAAAUCCCAAGGUCUCCACUCUGACGAUCCAGUCCACAGAACCCCAGGACGCAGCUGUGUAUCUCUGUGCGAGUAGUUUAGCCACAGUGCUGCACAAUCACAUUCUGCUGAGGCAGAAACUAUACGCUUCCCCUUCCCUGUCUCUCUCUUAG